CCUACGGGAGGCAGCAGUGAGGAAUAUUGGUCAAUGGACGCAAGUCUGAACCAGCCAUGCCGCGUGCAGGAAGACGGCCCUAUGAGUUGUAAACUGCUUUUGUACGAGGGUAAAUCUCGAUACGUGUAUCGUGUUGAAAGUACCGUACGAAUAAGGAUCGGCUAACUCCGUGCCAGCAGCCGCGGUAAUACGGAGGAUUCAAGCGUUAUCCGGAUUUAUUGGGUUUAAAGGGUGCGUAGGCGGUUCGAUAAGUUAGGGGUGAAAUCCCGGGGCUCAACUCCGGCACUGCCUUUGAUACUGUCGGGCUAGAGUUUAGUUGCGGUAGGCGGAAUGUAUGGUGUAGCGGUGAAAUGCAUAGAGAUCAUACAGAACACCGAUUGCGAAGGCAGCUUACCAAACUACGACUGACGUUGAGGCACGAAAGCGUGGGGAGCAAACAGGAUUAGAUACCCUUGUAGUC
rnacentral:rRNA from 1 species